GCAAACUUGGUCAUUUAGAGGAAGUACAAGUCGUAACAAGGUUUCCGUAGGUGAACCUGCGGAAGGAUCAUUAACAAAUUUGUGAGGUGUGCGAGUAUUCGUAUACUUCAAUAUAUGUGCUCUGGCGGUAUGCUAGAAUGCACUUUUUAUAUAUAUCUAUUGUAAUGUGUAAGUAGUUUACAAUCAAUACAAAUCAUACUUUUAACAAUGGAUCUCUUGGCUCUUUAGAGGAAGUACAAGUCGUAACAAGGUUUCCGUAGGUGAACCUGCGGAAGGAUCAUUAACAAAUUUGUGAGGUGUGCGAGUAUUCGUAUACUUCAAUAUAUGUGCUCUGGCGGUAUGCUAGAAUGCACUUUUUAUAUAUAUCUAUUGUAAUGUGUAAGUAGUUUACAAUCAAUACAAAUCAUACUUUUAACAAUGGAUCUCUUGGCUCUUGCAUCGAUGAAGAACGCAGC
rnacentral:misc_RNA from 1 species